rnacentral:rRNA from 1 species
UACGUAGGGGGCUAGCGUUAUCCGGAAUUACUGGGCGUAAAGGGAACGCAGGCGGUCUUUUAAGUCUGAUGUGAAAGCCUUCGGCUUAACCGGAGUAGUGCAUUGGAAACUGGGAGACUUGAGUGCAGAAGAGGAGAGUGGAACUCCAUGUGUAGCGGUGAAAUGCGUAGAUAUAUGGAAGAACACCAGUGGCGAAAGCGGCUCUCUGGUCUGUAACUGACGCUGAGGUUCGAAAGCGUGGGUAGCAAACAGG